ACUUGCUUCAGCAGGAUAUUUACUGAAAUUGGAACAAUACAGAGAAAACUAGCAUGGCCUAUGGUUAUGCACAAGGAUGACAUGCAAAUUUGUGAAGCAUUCUAUAUUUUU
rnacentral:snRNA from 2 species